GAAGCGCGGCCGUCGCCCGCCGGGGAGCGGCGGGGCCGGGGGCGGCUUGGCAGCGGGGCCCUGCCGCGAAGCGGCCCUCGGCUCUGCGCUGCGGCGUAGCGGGUGCCGCCGCCCGCGCCGCUUGGGCGAGGCGGCAGGAGCCUCGCGGGGCGCCGCCGGUUCUGGGCGCCGGGCGCAGCGGCGGGGCGCAGCCGAGCGAGAGUGUCGCUGCCCGGCCGGGCGCAGCGGCGGCGCCGGGCGCGUCUCGCCGGGAGUGCUGUGUCAUUGCGCCAGGCGCAGCCGGAGGCGAGGCGCCUCGGUGAGCAAGAUUGGACUGGUUUAGAUGAAGAUGAAGAUGCACAUGUCUGGGAAGACAAUUGGGAUGAUGACAAUGUAGAAGACGAUUUCUCCAAUCAGUUAAGAGCUGAAUUAGAAAAACAUGGAUACAAGAUGGAAACCUCAU